ACACGAGAAAGGAGGUGGUCCGACGGUGUACAGCUAUAGGACUCGUGAGGUGGCUGUCCGCUAGGACGGCAUGCGGACCACCGUGUGCUGCCUGGCGAAUACCAGGCAGUCACCGGCCCUCGAUGUUCCUGUGGGCGGGUCCACCACGGGCCCCGGCGGCUGACGACGUCGGGGAGUCGCAUCGGGGGCUUACCCCA
rnacentral:sRNA from 1 species